rnacentral:rRNA from 1 species
ACGCUCGACACCUACGGGGGCAGCAGUCGGGAAUAUUGCGCAAUGGAGGGAACUCUGACGCAGUGACGCCGCGUAUAGGAAGAAGGUUUUCGGAUUGUAAACUAUUGUCGUUAGGGAAGAGAAAGGACAGUACCUAAGGAGGAAGCUCCGGCUAACUACGUGCAAGCAGCCGCGGUAAUCUGAGCGGGCUGGCAAGGC